AUGUACUUGGCAGAUGAAUGCAGCAGUACAGGGCUGGCAGAGGCGAGGCAGGGCCCACGCGGAAGGUUGAAACAGUCAACGGGCGAAGCUGGACUUGGUGCUGGCUCGCGGAUCCAUGUAGUGAGACAAGGCAGGGGUGCAGUGCGGCGGGACUGCAAUGGCUUGACGCAAGCAGGGCGCCGCGGCUCCGAGAACAUGGCGGGGCGGCAGAGCCACGGGGGAAACCGCGAUCCACCGGAUCCUGGCAGAGCACGCCGGCGGCGACGUCAUUCGCUGGAGAAGCACGGAGCGGGCACGGCGAUGGUGGCAUGGAAGGCGAAGCUAGCGAAGGAGCUUGAGGGCGCGGGUGCCAUGGCGCUGAGCAACGAGCUACUGCUGCUCGAUGUAGACAGAGGCAGCCAGGGGACGGAGUUGGAGGAGGACUGCGCUCCCGCAGUUGAAGACGAACGGUGA
rnacentral:rRNA from 1 species